UAAUAACAAUAAUUAAAUUAAUAGGGAAAAUUUAACUUCAAAACAAUCAUAAACAAGAAUGUCUCAUAUAUCACACAUAACAAGAAUCAUAAAUAUACGAAAUAAUUAAAUCCAAAUUCCAAUCUUAUACAUUAAAAAUUAAAUUAAAAAAAAAGUAGAAUAUAAAUAUAAAAUACACAAAUCUUGUCACAAUCCUCAGAAACAAGCGUCCAAUACACAGCAACAACAAAGGGCGGCACAACUGCAAAUACAAAUUAAUAUUUAUUUUAAAUAUAUAUAUUCAUAAAUAAUUUAAAAAAAAUAAUUAAUAUAAUCCAAUUAGUUUUAUAUAUAUAUAUAAAAAAAAAAAGAGGAUAAAUAGGGUAAAUAUAAAAAUAUUAAUUACCAUCCUUUCAAGAAGCCGUCGCCUUUUGAUUGUGUGGUAACUGGUGGGGCCUGGCCUUGUUGAUCAUGACCAUCUUUCAUCGGAUAACCGGCCGGCGGCGGCGCCAUGUAACCACCCUGCGGCUCCGCCGGGUAUGCGGUGGCUGGUGGCGGAUAUGCUGCUGCAAAACAAAGAGUUGAUGAUGAUUAAAUAUAAUCCACCUAUAUAUAUUUUUAUGAUAUUAAGAGUUGCAACUUCUUCUAGAAACUAUUACUUACCUUGAUUACUCAUGUUGAUCUAGAGAGAGAGAGAUGUAGAGAGAGAGUAAAAUCAAAGGCAAAAUAUGUAUAUGAUCAGUUGAGAGAUGGAGAGGAAGUGUAUGUAUAUGUAUCUGUGAGUGUGUAUAUAUAGACAGGUGGG
rnacentral:lncRNA from 1 species